AUGGAGUCUUUGCUUUCAGUACUUGCUUAUGCCUCCUUCUUCUUCCUUGUCCUAGCUGUGUUCCGACGCAUCUGCCGUGUGCCGGCGCGGGUGAUCCCUCAGCCGAUCAUCGAGAUCAGCGAUGCUGCCGUCACCAGGCGCGCACUGGUUGAGUACGCCGACGCUUUCUCCAACCGCCCAAUGUCCAUGUUCCGCAUCCCUAUCGUCAAAGGUCACCGCCGCCGACGGAGCGACAACAUAAUCUCCGUGCCAUACGGCCCGCUCUGGCGCACCCUGCGGUGCAACCUCGCAGCGGAGACCAUCCACCCCACGCGCUACGCUUCCUAUGUGCCGCUGCGACGGGCGGCCAUCGACGACAUCGUCGCUAGCGUCCAGUCAGCCGCAAGCAAGGGCAGGGCGGUGGUCGUCCGCGACGGCCUCUAUGCCGCCGUGUUCUCCAUGAUUGCACGCAUGUGCUUUGGAGAAGGCCUGGUCGACGAGGCCGACGUGCGGGUCAUGCAGUGCGAGUUCCGGGAGUUCAUCCUCGCCGCCGUGGAAUCCACCUCCACGUGCGAGUCUAAGCUCUUGGGCUACUGGAGGCGACGGCAAAGAGAUCCUAUCGCCUUGCGCCGCCGGCUGGCCGAGCUUUUCCUCCCUCUCAUCGAGGAGGCACGGCGGCAGUCGUCACGAUUUUGCGACGGCCACGCCCGUUCAUACGUCGAUUCGCUCAUCCGUCUCCGCGUUCCAGACGAGGACGACGACAAUGACGAGCAUCUACGCCGAGCCCUCACGGAAGACGAGAUGGUGAGCCUCGUGUUAGAAUUCCUCGGCGCCGGCACGGAGACCGUUGUGGCUUGCGUGGAGUGGACCCUCGCUCACCUAGUCACCCGGCCGGAGAUCCAGAACAAACUGCGUCGCGAGGCCAUCAUCAACAUCAAGUACGACGGUGACAACAAGUAUCCCUCCGAGUCCGAGGACGAGGAGAGAGAAAUACUCCACCGCGGCAUGGCGCCGUACCUCCACGCCGUGGUGCUCGAGAGCCUCCGCAUGCACCCGCCGACGCCGUUCGUCAUGCGCGACAUCCGCGCCGAGGGAGGAGUGGUCCGCCAAACGGCCAUGCCGGCCGGCGGUUUGCGCGUGCACUUCGUCUUGGGGGACAUCGGGAGGGACCCCAAGACAUGGACGGAUCCCGACGAGUUCCGGCCGGAGAGGUUCCUUGCCGGAGGAGAGGGAGAGGCCGUUGGGCCUCUGCCGGGGCCCAAGGAGAUCAAGAUGAUGCCGUUCGGCGCAGGGCGGAGGUACUGCCCAGGCAUGGCUCUGGGGAUGCUCAAUGUCAAGUGCUUGCUGGCAGCGCUGGUGCGCGAGUUCGAGUGGACCGAGGGAAAUUGUGGCGUCGACCUCACGGAGCUCGACGGAUUCUUCAAAGCGAUGAAGAAGCCACUUCGUGCUCGUGUCACGCCUCACACGUGCAUGCAACAAAUGUAA
rnacentral:rRNA from 1 species